rnacentral:rRNA from 1 species
UACGUAGGUGGCGAGCGUUGUCCGGAUUUACUGGGCGUAAAGAGCGCGCAGGCGGUCGUGCAAGUCGCGUGUGAAAGCCCCCGGCUCAACUGGGGAGGGUCACGCGAUACUGCUCGACUUGAAGGCAGGAGAGGGAAGUGGAAUUCACGGUGUAGCAGUGAAAUGCGUAGAUAUCGUGAGGAACACCAGAGGCGAAGGCGGUUUCCUGGACAGUUACUGACGCUCAGGCACGAAAGCAUGGGGAGCAAAAGGG